rnacentral:rRNA from 1 species
UACAGAGGUCCCAAGCGUUGUUCGGAUUCACUGGGCGUAAAGGGUGCGUAGGUGGUCGGGUAAGUCUGAUGUGAAAUCUCCGAGCUUAACUCGGAAACUGCAUCGGAAACUACCUGGCUAGAGGAUUGGAGGGGAGACUGGAAUUCUCGGUGUAGCAGUGAAAUGCGUAGAUAUCGAGAGGAACACCGGUGGCGAAGGCGAGUCUCUGGACAAUUCCUGACACUGAGGCACGAAAGCUAGGGGAGCAAACAGG